rnacentral:rRNA from 1 species
GAUGAACGCUGGCGGCGUGCUUAACACAUGCAAGUCGAACGAAGCACUUUAUUUGAUUUCCUUCGGUCCUGUUUAUUUUGUGACUGUGUGGCGGACGGGUGAGUAACUCGUGGGUAACCUGCCUUGUACAGGGGGAUAACAGUUCGAAACGGCUGCUAAUACACCAUAAGCGCACAGCAUCGCAUGAGGCAGUGUGCAAACCUCCGGUGGUAUAACAUCGACCCGCGUUGGAUUAGCCAGUUGAUGAGGUAACGGCCCACCAAGGCGACGAUCCAUAGCCGACCGGAGAGGGGGCCCCGCCACAUUUGGACUGAGACACGGCCCCAACUCCUACGCAAGGCUGCAGUCGAGAAUAUUGCACAACGGGCGAAAGCCUGAUGCAGCGACGUCGCGUGAGCGAAGAAGUAUUUCGGUAUGUAAAUCUCUAUCAGCAGAGAAGAUAAUGACGGUACUGGACUAAGAAGCACCGGCUAAAUACGUG